GUGUUCGUAGCUUAAUUAGGAGAAAGCAUUAAAUUACGAAUUUAACGAUUGAAAGUUCAAUUCUUUCCGAACACU
rnacentral:tRNA from 1 species